rnacentral:rRNA from 1 species
ACGGUCCUAAGGUAGCGAAAUUCCUUGUCGGGUAAGUUCCGACCUGCACGAAUGGCAUAAUGAUGGCCAGGCUGUCUCCACCCGAGACUCAGUGAAAUUGAAAUCGCCGUGAAGAUGCGGUGUACCCGCGGCUAGACGGAAAGACCCCGUGAACCUUUACUAUAGCUUGACACUGAACAUUGAAUUUUGAUGUGUAGGAUAGGUGGGAGCCUUAGAAGCAGUCACGCCAGUGAUUGUGGAGGCGUCCUUGAAAUACCACCCUUUAACGUUUGAUGUUCUAACGAAGAUUACGAAACGUGGUCUCGGACAGUGUCUGGUGGGUAGUUUGACUGGGGCGGUCUCCUCCCAAAGAGUAACGGAGGAGCACGAAGGUUUGCUAAUGACGGUCGGACAUCGUCAGGUUAGUGCAAUGGUAUAAGCAAGCUUAACUGCGAGACAGACAAGUCGAGCAGGUACGAAAGUAGGUCAUAGUGAUCCGGUGGUUCUGAAUGGAAGGGCCAUCGCUCAACGGAUAAAAGGUACUCCGGGGAUAACAGGCUGAUACCGCCCAAGAGUUCAUAUCGACGGCGGUGUUUGGCACCUCGAUGUCGGCUCAUCACAUCCUGGGGCUGAAGUAGGUCCCAAGGGUAUGGCUGUUCGCCAUUUAAAGUGGUACGCGAGCUGGGUUUAGAACGUCGUGAGACAGUUCGGUCCCUAUCUGCCGUGGGCGUUGGAGAAUUGAUUGGGGCUGCUCCUAGUACGAGAGGACCGGAGUGGACGCACCACUGGUGUUCCGGUUGUGUCGCCAGACGCAUUGCCGGGUAGCUAAGUGCGGAAGAGAUAAGUGCUGAAAGCAUCUAAGCACGAAACUUGCCAAGAGAUGAGUUCUCCCAGAUUUUAAAUCUGUAAGGGUUGUUUAAGACUAAGACGUAGAUAGGUCUGGUGUGUAAGCGGUGCGAGCCGUUGAGCUAACAGAUACUAAUUGCCCGAGAGGCUUAACUAU